CUUUCUUCGGGUGCAACCUACCAAACCAUAACAAACACCUUCCCUUGAUCCUUGGACAUAAAAUAACCCAAAUCCUCGCCACCGUUAUCCAAAACCAUAUACAGUAGUCAGAAGUGGCGUUCACAUUUUUCUCACCUUCCCAACGCUCCCAACUCUCGCAGUGCCGCCACGUGUCCCAUCGUUUUCCGCGUUUAUUUCCUUCCUUCUCCGGUAACACUACCCAUCACUUCCAGAAACAGUAACUAACUUUUUCUUCGUAUAAAUAAGGCCAAAUCGAAAUCGAAUAAUCAAUUUCGGGUUUCCUUUUCCAGCACCGUCAUCAGGAUCGUCUUCAAAUUUUACUUUCACUUUGUGGCUUUCUUUUUUCUCGCGCUUGCUGUACGAUUUUCUCGGGAAAAUUUUGGAGUUUCUACUGCUUUUUUCGUGCCGCGAUCGCUAUCGGAUUUGGACGCCGAUUUCGCCUCGUGAAUCACUAGGGUUUUGUUUUUGUUUUUCUAUGGAGGAUAGGAGCUUGUGCGCGUCGGAGUCGGUUGUUGAAGGAAGUCGCGAUGUUUGGAGUUCGGAACCGUCGCUCGCUACCUCCGCAGAUCACCUCGUUGUAAUGGUGAACGGAAUUCUCGGACGUACAACGGAUUGGAAAUAUGCUGCGGGGCAAUUUGUCAAGGAAUUGCCUGAUAAAGUGUUUGUUCACUGUAGCGAACGAAAUGUGUCUAUGCUCACUCUAGAUGGUGUGGAUGUAAUGGGGGAGAGAUUAGCAGAAGAGGUGCUUGAAGUGAUUCGAAGCAAGCCAAAUUUGCGUAAGAUAUCCUUUGUUGCACACUCUGUGGGAGGACUAGUGGCACGAUAUGCAAUUGGGAGGCUGUAUAGGCCACCUGAAAAAGGAUCUAUGAAGGACUCUUGCAAUGAAGAAAGUAAGGAGAGCUCAGUGGGCACAAUAGGUGGCUUGGAGGCUAUGAAUUUCAUUGCUGUGGCCACACCUCAUUUAGGAUCAAGGGGCAAUAAGCAGGUUCCAUUUCUUUUGGGGGUACCUGCUUUUGAGAAAGUUGCCAGUUGUGUUAUUCAUUUCAUUUUUAGAAGAACUGGUCGGCAUCUUUUCCUUACUGAUGAUGAUGAAGGAAAACCUCCAUUGCUUAAACGCAUGAUUGAAGACUAUGGUGAUUUGUAUUUCAUGUCUGCAUUGCGCAGUUUUAAACGUCGAUUUGCAUAUUCAAAUGUGGAUUAUGAUCAUAUUGUUGGCUGGAGAACGUCAUCAAUUAGACGUCAAAGUGAACUUGCAAAUUGGAAGGAUACCCUCAAUGAAAAAUAUACACAUGUUGUAUAUGAAGAACACUGCAAGGCUUGUUCUGAUGCUGAACAUUAUGACAUAUUGGAAGAUAACAACUCUGACAAGAUAGAAGAGGAGCUUGUAACUGGCUUAUCUCGUGUGUCAUGGGAAAAAGUAGAUGUUAGCUUCCGCAAUAGCAAGAAUAAAUUUGCUGCUCAUACUAUCAUUCAGGUCAAAGACCAAAUCACACAAAUAGAAGGUGCAGAUGUUAUACAGCAUAUGAUUGAUCAUUUUCUUCUGUAGUAGCCUUCUGUCUCUUAAAUAUGCCUGCUUGGCAAUUUAUGCUUCCUAUAGGAUGGAAACAAAUGGUUUCCUGAGUGAUGAAAUUGACGUGAAGAAGAAAAUGAAUUUUUUGUUUAUGGAUCUCAUCCAUAAUCCUUAACACUGUAUAAACUAGUCGGAAACCGUGAAUUGCACGGGGACAAUAGAAUUUCAAAUAUCUAUUUGAGGUUAUUUAUUUAUGAAAUUGAUUUGUAUA